rnacentral:rRNA from 1 species
GACGAACGCUGGCGGCGUGCUUAACACAUGCAAGUCGAACGGAAAGGCCCCUUUGGGGGUACUCGAGUGGCGAACGGGUGAGUAACACGUGCGUAACCUGCCCUUGACUUCGGGAUAACUUCAGGAAACUGGGGCUAAUACCGGAUAGGAAUCCUUGCUGCAUGGUGGGGGUUGGAAAGCUUCGGCGGUUUUGGAUGGACUCGCGGGUUAUCAGCUUGUUGGUGGGGUAGUGGCUUACCAAGGCUUUGACUGGGAGCCGGCCUGAGGGGGCGACCGGCCACAUUGGGACUGAGAUACGGCCCAGACUCCUACGGGAGGCAGCAGUGGGGAAUAUUGCACAAUGGGCGGAAGCCUGAUGCAGCAACGCCGCGUGCGGGAUGACGGCCUUCGGGUUGUAAACCGCUUUCAGCAGGGGCGAAGCUUGUGGUGACGGUACCUGCAGAAGAAGCACCGGCUAACUACGUG